rnacentral:rRNA from 1 species
UACGUAGGCAGCAAGCGUUGUUCGGAGUUACUGGGCGUAAAGGGUGUGUAGGCGGUUCUUUAAGUUUGGUGUGAAAUCUCCCGGCUCAACUGGGAGGGUGCGCCGAAAACUGGGGGGCUAGAGUACUGGAUGGGAGAGUGGAAUUCCUGGUGUAGCGGUGAAAUGCGUAGAUAUCAGGAGGAACACCUGUGGUGUAGACGGCUCUCUGGACAGUAACUGACGCUGAGACACGAAAGCGUGGGUAGCAAACAGG